rnacentral:rRNA from 1 species
UAGGGAAUCUUCCGCAAUGGGCGAAAGCUUGACGGAGCAACGCCGCGUGAGUGAUGAAGGUCUUCGGAUCGUAAAACUCUGUUAUUAGGGAAGAACAAAUGUGUAAGUAACUAUGCACGUCUUGACGGUACCUAAUCAGAAAGCCACGGCUAACUACGUGCCAGCAGCCGCGGUAAUACGUAGGUGGCAAGCGUUAUCCGGAAUUAUUGGGCGUAAAGCGCGCGUAGGCGGUUUUUUAAGUCUGAUGUGAAAGCCCACGGCUCAACCGUGGAGGGUCAUUGGAAACUGGAAAACUUGAGUGCAGAAGGGGAAAGGGGAAUUCCGUGUGUAGCGGUGAAAUGCGCAGAGAUAUGGAGGAACACCAGUGGCGAAGGCGACUUUCUGGUCUGUAACUGACGCUGAUGUGCGAAAGCGUGGGGAUCAAACAGG